GACGAACCGAGCGAACGUUGUUCGGAAUCACUGGGCUUAAAGGGCGCGUAGGCGGGUGCUCAAGUCCGGGGUGAAAUCCUCCAGCUCAACUGGAGAACUGCCUCGGAUACUGGGUGCCUCGAGUGUGGUAGGGGUGUGCGGAACUAUAGGUGGAGCGGUGAAAUGCGUUGAUAUCCACAGGAACACCGGUGCGAAGGCGGCCAUCUGGACCGCAACUGACGCUGAGGCGCGAAAGCGUGGGGAGCAAACAGG
rnacentral:rRNA from 1 species